GAUGAACGCUGGCGGCGUGCCUAAUACAUGCAAGUCGAGCGAACGGACGAGAAGCUUGCUUCUCUGAUGUUAGCGGCGGACGGGUGAGUAACACGUGGAUAACCUACCUAUAAGACUGGGAUAACUUCGGGAAACCGGAGCUAAUACCGGAUGAUAUUUUGAACCGCAUGGUUCAAAAGUGAAAGACGGUCUUGCUGUCACUUAUAGAUGGAUCCGCGCUGCAUUAGCUAGUUGGUAAGGUAACGGCUUACCAAGGCAACGAUGCAUAGCCGACAUGAGAGGGUGAUCGGCCACACUGGAACUGAGACACGGUCCAGACUCCUACGGGAGGCAGCAGUAGGGAAUCUUCCGCAAGGGGCGAAAGCCUGACGGAGCAACGCCGCGUGAGUGAUGAAGGUCUUCGGAUCGGAAAACUCUGUUAUUAGGGAAGAACAUAUGUGUAAGUAACUGUGCACAUCUUGACGGUACCUAAUCAGAAAGCCACGGCUAACUACGUG
rnacentral:rRNA from 1 species